AGUGAACGCUGGCGGUAGGCCUAACACAUGCAAGUCGAACGGCAGCACAGUAAGAGCUUGCUCUUACGGGUGGCGAGUGGCGGACGGGUGAGGAAUACAUCGGAAUCUACUUUUUCGUGGGGGAUAACGUAGGGAAACUUACGCUAAUACCGCAUACGCCCUACGGGUGAAAGCAGGGGAUCUUCGGACCUUGCGCGAUUGAAUGAGCCGAUGUCGGAUUAGCUAGUUGGCGGGGUAAAGGCCCACCAAGGCGACGAUCCGUAGCUUGUCUGAGAGGAUGAUCGGCGACACUGGAGCUGAGACGCGCUCCAGACUCCUACGAGAGGCAGCAGUGGCGUAUAUUGGACAAUGGGGGCAAGCCUGAUCCAGCCAUACCGCGUGGGUGAAGAAGGCCUUCGGGUUGUAAAGCCCUUUUGUUGGGAAAGAAAAGCAUCAGCUUAAUACCCCGCUGUUCUGACGGUACCCAAAGAAUAAGCACCGGCUAACUUCGUG
rnacentral:rRNA from 1 species